GAUGAACGCUGGCGGCGUGCCUAAUACAUGCAAGUCGAGCGAACAGAUAAGGAGCUUGCUCCUUUGACGUUAGCGGCGGACGGGUGAGUUACACGUGGAUAACCUACCUAUAAGACUGGGAUAACUUCGGGAAACCUGAGCUAAUACCGGAUAACAUAUUGAACCGCAUGGUUCAAUAGUGAAAGGCGGCUUUGCUGUCACUUAUAGAUGGAUCCGCGCCGUAUUAGCUAGUUGGUAAGGUAACGGCUUACCAAGGCAACGAUACGUAGCCGACCUGAGAGGGUGAUCGGCCACACUGGAACUGAGACACGGUCCAGACUCCUACGGGAGGCAGCAGUAGGGAAUCUUCCGCAAUGGGCGAAAGCCUGACGGAGCAACGCCGCGUGAGUGAUGAAGGUCUUCGGAUCGUAAAACUCUGUUAUCAGGGAAGAACAAAUGUGUAAGUAACUGUGCACAUCUUGACGGUACCUGAUCAGAAAGCCACGGCUAACUACGUG
rnacentral:rRNA from 1 species